rnacentral:rRNA from 1 species
UACAGAGGUCCCGAGCGUUGUUCGGAUUCAUUGGGCGUAAAGGGCGCGUAGGUGGCUCUGUGUGUCUACCGUGAAAGCGUACGGCUCAACCGUAUUUUGUCGGUAGGAACUGCAGGACUUGAGGCUGGGAGGGGCUGGUGGAAUUCCCUGUGUAGCGGUGAAAUGCGUAGAGAUGGGGGAGAACACUCGUGGCGAAGGCGGCCAGCUAGACCAGUUCUGACACUGAGGCGCGACAGCGUGGGGAGCAAACAGG